rnacentral:rRNA from 1 species
AUAUCACUAAGCGGAGGAAAAGAAAUUAACUAAGAUUGCCUCAGUAACGGCGAGUGAAGCGGCAAAAGCCCAAACUGGAAAUCUUCACACUUCGUGUGACGAGUUGUAAUCUACAGGAUCGAGCUCACCUGGAGGGGGCGCAGAAGUGCCUUAGAACGGGCCGCCAAAGAGGGUGACAGCCCCGUAUGUGGUGCCUCCGCCUAACGAGCUCGGUUCAAAGAGUCGGGUAGCUUUGAAAUGCUGCCCUAAUUCGGGAGAUAGACUUCUUCCAAGGCUAAAUAUAUAUGGGAGACCGAUAGCGCACAAGUA